UACGAAGGGGGCUAGCGAUGUUCGGAAUUACUGGGCGUAAAUCGCACGUAGGCGGAUUAGUAAGUCAGGGGUGAAAUCCCGGGGCUCAACCUCGGAACUGCCUUUGAUACUGCUGAUCUCGAGUCCGGAAGAGGUGAGUGGAAUUCCGAGUGUAGAGGUGAAAUUCGUAGAUAUUAGGAAGAACACCAGUGGCGAAGGCGGCUCACUGGUCCGGUACUGACGCUAAGGUGCGAAAGCGUGGGGAGCAAACAGG
rnacentral:rRNA from 1 species